CUGCCUUUCUCACUUGUACUACACAUAUACCUUGAAGACUAGCCAAGUGCAGUAGUGAUGAGAGAAGAAAGAACUGAAUAAGGAGUUCGAUCUGCAACUGACUGUGCACAAUCAAUUAAGACUCACUGCCUUCGGAGCAGCCUUUUAUGGAGUGGCGGAGAUGGGAUUUCACUACACUGUCCAGCUUGGUCUCAAACUCCUGAGCACAAGUGAUCCUCCCACCUCAGACUCCAAAACUGCUAGGAUUAGAAGCAUGAGCCACCACACCCAGCCAAGAAGCUUUUUAUUGCAAGUCAACCAACAAAGAGACAGGAGUCCAACUCAAAUCUGCCACCCUAUGCUGGCUUCAAGGCAGUAUUUUUAUUAGAAAAGUUCAGGGGGUGCAUUCUGAAAUUAGUAGGUGAUUGGUGGAAGGAAAGGGAGGUCUGGAAAGUCCUCAGGCAUGUGUACUUAUCUCUUCAUGCUUUCUCAUGGGUCCCAUGUGCAAAUUCAGGGGGAGUUAAUAAAAAACAUAUGGUGGAAAU
rnacentral:lncRNA from 1 species